rnacentral:rRNA from 1 species
CCUACGGGGUGCAGCAGUGGGGAAUAUUGCACAAUGGGGGAAACCCUGAUGCAGCGACGCCGCGUGAGUGAAGAAGUAUUUCGGUACGUAAAGCUCUAUCAGCAGGGAAGAAAAUGACGGUACCUGACUAAGAAGCCCCGGCUAACUACGUGCCAGCAGCCGCGGUAAUACGUAGGGGGCAAGCGUUAUCCGGAUUUACUGGGUGUAAAGGGAGCGUAGACGGCAGCGCAAGUCUGGAGUGAAAUCCCAUGGCUUAACCAUGGAACUGCUUUGGAAACUGUGCAGCUAGAGUGCAGGAGAGGUAAGCGGAAUUCCGAGUGUAGCGGUGAAAUGCGUAGAUAUUAGGAGGAACACCAGUGGCGAAGGCGGCUUACUGGACUGUAACUGACGUUGAGGCUCGAAAGCGUGGGGAGCAAACAGGAUUAGAUACCCCGGUAGUC